GACGAACGCUGGCGGCGUGCCUAAUACAUGCAAGUAGAACGCAGUUGCGAACGGGUGAGUCACGCGUAGGUAACUGCCUCAUAGCGGGGGCUAACUAUUGGAAACGAUAGCUAAUACCGCAUACUGUGAGAUGGACCUGCGUUGUAUUAGCUAGUUGGUGAGGUAAAGGGUCUACAAGGCGACGAUACAUAGCCGACCUGAGAGGGAGAUCGGCAAAACCGGGACGGAGGAACGGCCCAGAAGUCUACGGGAGGAAGGAGGAGGGAAUCUUCGGAAAUUGACGGAAGUCUGUAUGAGCAAAGCCGCGGGAGUGAAGAAGGGUUUCGGAACGUAAAGCUCGGUUGUUAGAGAAGCGGUAACGAACCAGAAAGGGACGGCUAACUACGUGCCAGCCGCCGCGGUAAUAC
rnacentral:rRNA from 1 species